GUCAUGUGACCCGUGUUGACAUAUCACAAAAUCGAUACCCGACUAAAAAUAAUACUAUGGUUCUUUAAUAUAAUUUCGAAACCUAACACUCGACCAUCCUGACGUCGUGCAUGUCCCCAUGCACGCAGACGAAGUAACUGCUCUGUAUAACCUAACACUCGGCUAGCAUCGAAUUCGGACUCACAAUUCAUUGCACAUUAACAUCAAAAUAUAAUUAUCAUCAACUCAAGGUUCUUACAAACAAACAAAUAGGAAAAAAAAAAUAAUUGAAUAAAUUACAAUCCACUUAAACUCUUUCUCAAAACAUUGAACAUUAAAUAACAUCGUAUUAAAGUAACUUAACUAGUGAGCCAUCCUUCUCACAAACGAUAAAUAAAUACAUAUACAAUCAUCAUCAGAUCACGGAAGCAGUGAGCCCUCCUUCUCACAUACCGAGGUGCCUGUGUUUGUGAACCCUCCUUCUCACAAACAAUAAAUACAUACAUAUAAAAUCAUACUCAGGUCACGGAAGCAGUGAGCCCUCCUUCUCACAUACCGAGGUGCCUGUGUUUGUGAACCCUCCUUCUCACAAACAAUAAAUACAUACAUAUAAAAUCAUACUCAGGUCACGGAAGCAGUGAGCCCUCCUUCUCACAUACCGAGGUGCCUGUGUUUGUGAACCCUCCUUCUCACAAACAAUAAAUACAUACAUAUAAAAUCAUACUCAGGUCACGGAAGCAGUGAGCCCUCCUUCUCACAUACCGAGGUGCCUGUGUUUGUGAACCCUCCUUCUCACAAACAAUAAAUACAUACAUAUAAAAUCAUCAUCAGGUCACGGAAGCAGUGAG